rnacentral:rRNA from 1 species
AGAGUUUGAUCCUGGCUCAGGAUGAACGCUGGCGGUCUGCUAACACAUGCAAGUCGAACGCAGUACUUCGGUACUGAGUGGCGGACGGGUGAGUAACGCGUGAGAAUCUGCCUAGAGGUCGGGGACAACCAUUGGAAACGAUGGCUAAUACCGGAUAUGCCUUAAGGGGUGAAAGAUUUAUUGCCUUUAGAAGAGCUCGCGUCUGAUUAGCUAGUUGGUAGGGUAAAAGCCUACCAAGGCAUCGAUCAGUAGCUGGUCUGAGAGGAUGACCAGCCACACUGGGACUGAGACACGGCCCAGACUCCUACGGGAGGCAGCAGUGGGGAAUUUUCCGCAAUGGGCGAAAGCCUGACGGAGCAAGACCGCGUGAGGGAGGAAGGCUCUUGGGUUGUAAACCUCUUUUGUCAGGGAAGAACACAAUGACGGUACCUGACGAAUCAGCAUCGGCUAACUCCGUGCCAGCAGCCGCGGUAAUACGGAGGAUGCAAGCGUUAUCCGGAAUUAUUGGGCGUAAAGCGUCCGCAGGUGGCUAAUCAAGUCUGCGGUCAAAGACCGGGGCUUAACCCUGGAAAGGCCGUGGAAACUGAUAGAGCUAGAGUACCGUAGGGGUAGAGGGAAUUCCCGGUGUAGCGGUGAAAUGCGUAGAGAUCGGGAAGAACAUCGGUGGCGAAAGCGCUCUACUGGACGGUGACUGACACUCAGGGACGAAAGCUAGGGGAGCGAAUGGGAUUAGAUACCCUAGUAGUCC